rnacentral:lncRNA from 1 species
CUGAACUUAGAAACUUUGGAUUCAACACAAACUCAAGUACCUCAGCCAGAAUGUGACUUAAUUGAAUUAUGAGUAAGUUACAUUACUUAGUCCAAAGAUUUUCUUACAUUUUCAUGGAUUUGGAUCUCUCCAUUUUUCACUCAUGCUUUCUCAAUUUUUCUUAAUCCAAGUGUUAGUAAAUUACAAAGAAGAAAAAAUCAACAUUUGAAUUAAGAAAAAGUAGAUAAAACAUAAGGGAAAAUUGGAGCCGAU